CGGGUGAGUAACACGUGGGUAACCUGCCCAGAAGCAGGGGAUAACACCUGGAAACAGAUGCUAAUACCGUAUAAGAGAAAACCGCCUGGUUUUCUUUUAAAAGAUGGCUCUGCUAUCACUUCUGGAUGGACCCGCGGCGCAUUAGCUAGUUGGUGAGGUAACGGCUCACCAAGGCGAUGAUGCGUAGCCGACCUGAGAGGGUAAUCGGCCACAUUGGGACUGAGACACGGCCCAGACUCCUACGGGAGGCAGCAGUAGGGAAUUUCCACAAUGGACGCAAGUCUGAUGGAGCAACGCCGCGUGAGUGAAGAAGGGUUUCGGCUCGUAAAGCUCUGUUGUUAAAGAAGAACGUGGGUGAGAGUAACUAUUCACCCAGUGACGGUAUUUAACCAGAAAGCCACGGCUAACUACGUGCCAGCAGCCGCGGUAAUACGUAGGUGGCAAGCGUUAUCCGGAUUUAUUGGGCGUAAAGCGAGCGCAGGCGGUCUUUUAAGUCUAAUGUGAAAGCCUUCGGCUCAACCGAAGAAGUGCAUUGGAAACUGGGAGACUUGAGUGCAGAAGAGGACAGUGGAACUCCAUGUGUAGCGGUGAAAUGCGUAGAUAUAUGGAAGAACACCAGUGGCGAAGGCGGCUGUCUGGUCUGUAACUGACGCUGAGGCUCGAAAGCAUGGGUAGCGAACAGGAUUAGAUACCCUGGUAGUCCAUGCCGUAAACGAUGAUUACUAAGUGUUGGAGGGUUUCCGCCCUUCAGUGCUGCAGCUAACGCAUUAAGUAAUCCGCCUGGGGAGUACGACCGCAAGGUUGAAACUCAAAAGAAUUGACGGGGGCCCGCACAAGCGGUGGAGCAUGUGGUUUAAUUCGAAGCUACGCGAAGAACCUUACCAGGUCUUGACAUCUUCUGCCAACCUAAGAGAUUAGGCGUUCCCUUCGGGGACAGAAUGACAGGUGGUGCAUGGUUGUCGUCAGCUCGUGUCGUGAGAUGUUGGGUUAAGUCCCGCAACGAGCGCAACCCUUAUUACUAGUUGCCAGCAUUCAGUUGGGCACUCUAGUGAGACUGCCGGUGACAAACCGGAGGAAGGUGGGGACGACGUCAAAUCAUCAUGCCCCUUAUGACCUGGGCUACACACGUGCUAAAUGGAUGGUACAACGAGUUGCGAAACCGCGAGGUUU
rnacentral:rRNA from 1 species